rnacentral:snoRNA from 1 species
UUGCAGCCAUUAAGCCGACUGUCUCGCUGACGUGCGGUUCUGGUGUGGCAAAGGCUGCAGACAGCGACUCUUUGGUUGUGUAUGAACUCAGCUGGGAGGUGCUGAGUGCUUUAAGGGACCACGGAGACAAAG